ACGGAAGACGCGCUUAUGCGUGUCCAAGUCGCCGCUGGGUCGUGAACCUGAGGCACGGGCUGGUAGCACAGUGCGGCUCCCCUAAACUACCCCGGAUGCCCAUCCGGCUGCCCCCAUAGCAAGACAACUCCUGCAACUUAGAUUCUUUUUAUUUUAUUUUAUUUUUUUAAUUUUUAUUAUUCUUUUCUUUGAGACGGAGUUUUGCUCUUGUUGCCCAGACUGGAGUGCAAUGGCGCGAUCUCGGCUUACUGCAACCUCCGCCUCCUGGGUUCAAGCGAUUCUCCUGCCUCAGCCUCCCAAGUAGCUGGGAUUACAGGCGUGCACCACCACGCCUGUAUUUUUUUAGUAGAGACGGGGUUUCACCAUGUUGAUCAGGCUGGAUGGUCUCGAACUCCUGACCUCAGGUGAUCCACCCGCCUCGGUCUCCCAGUGCUGGGAUUACGGGCGUGAGCCACCACGCCUGGCUAAUUUUUGUAUUUUUUGCAGAGACGGGGUCUCGCCAUGUUGACCAGGCUGGUCUCGAACUCCGCCCACCUCGGCCUCCCGAAGGGCUAGAAUUAUAGGCAUGAGCUACCGUGCACUCAGCUCCAACCCUUGCAUUCUUCUUUAAAAACCAAAUUCGUUUAAAUACUGGGCAGGAGGGUGGGGUCCUGUUUUGCUGAGAUCCCUUACUCAUCUUCAGAUGAGUCCUUCCAGAUGACCCCAUUAUUACUAAACAACCCACACUCCUGACCCCAACCGACCCUCAUUGCUUCUUUCUGCCCCCCAACCCCCCAACUUAACCAACUUAUAACACGAUUUAUUAAUCGUGUAUUGUCUCCCCGCUCCAUCAUCCUAUCCUCGAAGAUAGAGGCUUACCCCCAACGCCUGUCACUGAAUGAAUGAACUGUUGUCUAAGGCUAGCUUCUUCUGCCACAGGGUAUUUCAGCAAUGGUAAGACACAGGCCUUUGCAGUAGGGUCUCAUCUGUGCCCUUUCCUCCUCUCCAGCCCUACCCCUUCUCUAUCUAGGGCUCCAGCUCUUCCUCCAGAAUUUUUUUUUUUUUUUUUUUUUUUUUGAGACAGAGUCUCGCUCUGUCCCCCAGGCUGGAGUGCAAUGGCAUGAUCCCGGCUCACUGCAACCUCCGCCUCCUGGGUUGACGCGAUUCCUCUGCCUCUGCCUCUGCCUCAGCCUCCCGAGUAGCUGGGACUACAGGCGCGCGCCACCAUGCCGGGUU
rnacentral:lncRNA from 10 species